rnacentral:miRNA from 1 species
UUGGUCAAAAAGUUUAUUCGGGUUUUUCCGUAAGAUGUAUGGAAAGACCCAAACAAAGUUUUUGGCCAA